rnacentral:rRNA from 1 species
GACGAACGCUGGCGGCGUGCUUAACACAUGCAAGUCGAACGGAAAGGCCCUGCUUUUGUGGGGUGCUCGAGUGGCGAACGGGUGAGUAACACGUGAGUAACCUGCCCUUGACUUUGGGAUAACUUCAGGAAACUGGGGCUAAUACCGGAUAGGAGCUCCUGCUGCAUGGUGGGGGUUGGAAAGUUUCGGCGGUUGGGGAUGGACUCGCGGCUUAUCAGCUUGUUGGUGGGGUAGUGGCUUACCAAGGCUUUGACGGGUAGCCGGCCUGAGAGGGUGACCGGCCACAUUGGGACUGAGAUACGGCCCAGACUCCUACGGGAGGCAGCAGUGGGGAAUAUUGCACAAUGGGCGGAAGCCUGAUGCAGCAACGCCGCGUGCGGGAUGACGGCCUUCGGGUUGUAACCCGCUUUCGCAUGUGACGAAGCGUGAGUGACGGUAAUGGGUGAAGAAGCACCGGCUAACUACGUG